ACUUCUCUCUUAAAUUUUUAUAGUUUUUCUCAUAAUCACGAUGGUUUCUUUCCAUUAGAUUAUUGUUCAGUUUUCAGGGUAUAAUAAAGGUUAGUGCACUGUACGUAUAAACUCAUGUUCUGUUUUUGCAUGGAAGAGUUUUCAUGUGAUCUUGAUGACCAUUCAAAGAUCAUAAGACAGUUUUGCCUUUCAUUUAUGAUAUUGUUAACUCAUACAAAAAGAUUAUGCCAGUUUGAUUCUGAGAGCAUAGUUAUUUUUUCUUCUGCCUCAAAAUUGAAAUUUUUGCAAAUGUGUGAUAGGUGCUAAUUGAAUGCCACUUCGUUAGGUGAUUUUUUGCUCAACAUGGUUUGAGACCAUGUGUGGAUUUCUCCACUUAAGUUAACUUUUGGUUUCAUGCUCCAAUUUUUUGUAUCUUUUCUUCGUGUUCCAAUUUUUUUGUAUCUUUUCUUCAUGCUCAUUUUACGAGGAGGGAGUUUUUUUUUUUAAUUAGUCUCAGGUUUGUCUUGUAACUUCAAGGACUUUUGUCUUCUUGUAUUUAAGAUGUAUAGGGCCACAAGGGGAUGCGACCACUACAUAGUUAUUUCUAAUAAAUGAUGGUUUCUUUAGACUUCAAGGACACAGUUAUAUAGCUUAUAGAACCGAUUCUGUUCAAGUAAAGUCAUGAUAAGAUUGUUUCUUACUAUCUCUGCUUGUCUUUAGCUACCCAAAUUAAAUGCAUUGUGCUUCAGUUCAUUAAAUUCCCAAACACCUACAUCUAAAGUAGUUCCUAGUCUCAUGAGAUGAUUGGAACCAUGUUUAUGCCACCUUUGCUCAUUUAGUGGAGGAACACGUGCCACUUUGGACUCGACUUCUUUCAUCUUAUGUUGAGUGCAUACACGAAUGAUUUGAGCCAGUAGAGUUGCUGUUUUAUGAAACAAGAGAAUUAUGUUGCUUUGUGUCUACCAUAUUAGAUUUUCUUUCUUUGUCUGAGGAAAUUUAUUGGUUGCUAUGAGUAUGGCUGGUCGCAUAAUGAAGUUACUAUUUCACUGAAUGAGGGUUAUUGAGAAUGUGGCAAUAUCACUACCAAAUUUGCCCCUUAUUUUGUCCUUUUCUUCCGUCUGUAGAUCUGUUUUUUAU